rnacentral:rRNA from 1 species
AUGCUGCACGCGCCGCCGCCGCUGGAGGCGGCCGGGUCGCCCGUCGCGCACAGCCGCUGCCUCCUCCGCGACCUCGGCGGCCAUGGCGCGUUGCCGGCCGACCCCUCCACGCUCUACGGCGCCGACGCGGCCACCACCCAGUUCCUCCUCGAGAGGAUUCUGCGGGGGAGCGGCACCGCGCGCCGCCUCGUGACUUCCUCCUCCUCUCCAGGUUCCUCCUCGGUGGGCGCAGCGGACACCGACUCGGGCGAGCCCCAGGACCCGGCGGUGUCCGCCCCUGGCCUCGUUCCGGUCUCAGGCUCCCCGGAUCGCGCCGACCGCACCUCCGCAGCUAGCGGUCCAGGCACUUCGCCCGCCACCGCGCUCAACGAGCCCCUCGAAUCAGCCGAGGAAGUCGCCGCCAGCCGCCUGCCUGCUCUUCUAGGACCGGGAGGUCGCAUACUGAUCGUGGCCAAUCGGCUCCCCGUCACGGCCAAGCGCCUCGAAGACAACCAGUGGGAGUUGGUGACCAGUUCGGGCGGUCUCGUCAGCGCCCUGCAAGGUGUUAAAGAUGUGGAACGGAUGUUUGUCGGCUGGCCUGGCGUCAGCGUCACCGACGAGGACGGCCAAACAUCCAUCAAGAAAGAGCUACUUAAGAAGAGGUGCGUACCUGUGUUCCUGAGUGAGGAGUUAAGGGACCAGUACUACAGCGGGUACUGCAAUAACAUUCUAUGGCCGCUCUUCCAUUACUUGGGGCUUCCACAGGGGUACAAGGUCAAUAAGACAAAAGACUUUAAGUCACAGCUUAAGGCAUAUACUGAGGCAAACAAGAUGUUCGCGGAUACUCUGUGCGAAAUCUCUAAGGAAGGGGAUAUCAUAUGGUGCCAUGACUACCAUUUGAUGUUACUUCCCAAGUUAUUGAAGCAGUCCAACCUGAACAUGAAGGUGGGCUGGUUCCUGCACACACCGUUUCCCUCAUAUGAGGUUUACCAGGCAUUGCCGAACCGCAAAGAGCUGUUGCAGGCUGUGCUUGAAGCUGACUUAGUGGGGUUUCAUACGUACGAGUAUGCAAGGCACUUUGUGAGUGCUUGCACCAGUCUGCUGGGUCUUGAGGGUCGCCUUGGAGGCAUUAAGUUUAAAGGAAGGAUUGUUAAAGUGGAUGCUUUUCCGAUCGGGAUAGACGCUCAGCAUUUUAAAGAAUCUUUGGAUCUUAACGCAGUCAAAGGGGAAAUAACCGAAUUCAAAUCAGUUUUUGCUGGUCCAAAGGUAAUGCUUGGUGUUGAUCGGUUAGACAUGAUUAAAGGACUUCUGCAAAAGUUAUUGGCCUUUGAGAAAUUUCUUGAGGAGAACAAGGGUUGGGAAUCCAAAGUGGUCCUUGUGCAAAUUGCUGUGCCAACUAGAAGUGACGUACCUGAAUAUCAAGAGCUGAAAAGUCAAGUGCAUGAAAUGGUUGGACGUGUAAAUGGAAAAUUUGGAACGUUUAAAACGUACCCUAUUAUAUAUCUGAUGUGGCUCUGA